rnacentral:rRNA from 1 species
UUUGUUGUUAAACCUCUUUCGACAGGGACGAAGCGCAAGUGACGGUACCUGUAGAAGAAGCACCGGCUAACUACGUGCCAGCAGCCGCGGUAAUACGUAGGGUGCGAGCGUUGUCCGGAAUGACUGGGCGUAAAGAGCUUGUAGGCGGUCUGUCACGUCGGUCGUGAAAACUCACAGCUCAACUGUGGGCCUGCGGUCGAUACGGGCAGACUAGAGUACUUCAGGGGAGACUGGAAUUCCUGGUGUAGCGGUGAAAUGCGCAGAUAUCAGGAGGAACACCGGUGGCGAAGGCGGGUCUCUGGGAAGUAACUGACGCUGAGAAGCGAAAGCGUGGGUAGCGAACAGGAUUAGAUACCCUGGUAGUCCACGCCGUAAACGGUGGGUACUAGGUGUGGGUUUCCUUCCACGGGAUCCGUGCCGUAGCUAACGCAUUAAGUACCCCGCCUGGGGAGUACGGCCGCAAGGCUAAAACUCAAAGGAAUUGACGGGGGCCCGCACAAGCGGCGGAGCAUGUGGAUUAAUUCGAUGCAACGCGAAGAACCUUACCUGGGUUUGACAUACACCGAAAGCCUAGA